rnacentral:RNase_P_RNA from 4 species
GAAGCUGGCUAGACAGUCGCCGCGUCCGCAAGGACGGGGAGGAAAGUCCGGGCUCCGCAGAGCAGGAUGCCGGUUAACGACCGGACGCCGUGAGGCGAUGGAAAGUGCCACAGAAAACGGAGCUGAGCGGAGUUUCAGCGCAGGGUAACCUUCGGGUUAUGCCUGCCAACCGUCAAGUUCCCUUUUUGGCGUCGAGGGCAUGACCCUAAGGUUAUGCCGGAGCUAAAAUGACACCGCCGAUGGCUGCGCGAGCAGUACAGGUAAGGUUGAAAUGGCGAGGUAAGAGCUCACCGCGCUGGUGGCAACAUCAGCGGCAGGGUAAACCCCAUCCGGAGCAAGACCAAAUAGGCUGGCCAUGACGUUGCUCGCGUCGCCAGCGGGUAGGUUGCUUGAGCGUCAGGUAACGAAACGCCUAGAGGAAUGACUGUCCACGACAGAACCCGGCUUACCGGCCAGCUUCACCU